GUCCUUAUAGCUUAUCGGUUAAAGCAUCUCACUGUUAAUGAGAAUAGAUGGGUUCAAUUCCUAUUAAGGACG
rnacentral:ncRNA from 13 species